rnacentral:rRNA from 1 species
AGCGAACGCUGGCGGCAGGCCUAACACAUGCAAGUCGAACGGAUCCUUCGGGAUUAGUGGCGGACGCGUGAGCAACACGUGGGAACGUGCCCUUUGGUUCGGAACAACGCAGGGAAACUUGACCUAAUACCGGAUGUGCCCCUCGGGGGAAAGAUUUAGCGCCAUUGGAGCGGCCCGCGUCCUAUUAGCUAGUUGGUGAGGUAACGGCCCACCAAGGCGACGAUCAGUAGCUGGUCUGAGAGGAGGAUCAGCCACACUGGGACUGAGACACGGCCCAGACUCCUACGGGAGGCAGCAGUGGGGAAUCUUGCGCAAUGGGCGAAAGCCUGACGCAGCCCUGACGCGUGAAUGAUGAAGGUCUUAGGAUUGUAAAAUUCUUUCAGCGGGGACGAUAAUGACGGUACCCGCAGAAGAAGCUCCGGCUAACUUCGUG